rnacentral:piRNA from 1 species
UAACAGCACAUCUGAUCAUCUGCCUGUU